CAGUAGCCGCGGGAACACGAAGGGGGCUAGCGUUGCUCGGAAUGACUGGGCGUAAAGGGCGCGUAGGCGGAUUGCGCAGUCAGAUGUGAAAUUCCUGGGCUUAACCUGGGGGCUGCAUUUGAGACGCGUAGUCUAGAGUGUGAAAGAGGGUCGUGGAAUUCCCAGUGUAGAGGUGAAAUUCGUAGAUAUUGGGAAGAACACCGGUGGCGAAGGCGGCGACCUGGUUCAUGACUGACGCUGAGGUGCGAAAGCGUGGGGAGCAAACAGGAUUAGAUACCCCAGUAGUCCCUGUCUCUUAUAC
rnacentral:rRNA from 1 species